UUUGUUUCUUUUUUUUUUCUUCCUCUUUUUUAGACCUUUUUACAUAAACACAGAGGAUAAAUUGCUCAACCAGUUUUGUUGUAACACCUGUGACAAUGACAAUAAAGAACUCUGAUACGAUCUGCUGGACAAGGUUACAAGCCUGCUCAUGCACAGCAGGCUCCUCUGAGGGGAGGAGCUUUGAAGGCAGGACUGCAGGCAGCAGAGAGGAAGAAGGAGGGACCUGGGAGCUGGAUCAUACUAAUAUUCUGACCAAGUCUACUUUUUUUUCUCAACACUCCAGACUGCAGCUUUCAAUGCUUUAUAAGGUUGCUGAUGUUGAAGUUAGCAACAUUCAUGCCACCCCUUGAAAUUACGGCCUUGCAUACUGAACAUGCUGCGGUUUUAACUACUUCUUUGCCGCUCUAAAAACAGUUGUUACAAGAGGCAGCACUGCGCAACUUCCUGUAUUGGCUUCUAAAGAAGCCAAAAAUAAUUGAUUUCCAGUGCUAAUUGAGCUAGCUGGGGAAUAGCAUGGUCCUAUUUCUAAAUGAUGUGGUAUCUGAAAGGUAUAUAGACUCACAUACUCGCUGAUUCCGAUACCUGCAUUUUUGGCAGUAUCGGUGGAUUUCCAAUGCUGGUAUCUGAAUUGGCACAAAUCUAUUUUAGACAAUGCAUUUUAUUCUUAAAUUGUAAAAUGUCCUGUCUCCAGUACAUAUUUUAUAACCACACUUGAUUAUUAUUUAUUCAUUACUUAAUACCUAUGUUGUCAUUAGUCCCAAAAAUCACAAGUUGGUCUGUAAUUUCUACAUGGUAUCACAAAUGAAUUGAAUUCAAUGAAUUGAUUUGAAUAUCAAAAAGUUGUGUGUGUUUACUUUGUGUGUUCAUGAAAGGGAAGUAGCUACUCUUUGCCCUACUGUUGUAAAUGUAAAUCAGUUUGGAGUUUGAACCUGAUGUGUGGAAAGAGUCUGAUUUUUAAAGGUUAAACUGAACAAGCAUCACGAUUGUCAAGCUUUCAAGAGAAUAAAAGCAGCGUGCUUUA